rnacentral:tRNA from 1 species
AGGGGUAUCGCCAAGCGGUAAGGCAACGGACUCUGACUCCGUUAUUCAAAGGUUCGAAUCCUUUUACCCCUGCCA